rnacentral:rRNA from 1 species
CGGCCACAUUGGGACUGAGACACGGCCCAGACUCCUACGGGAGGCAGCAGUGGGGGAUAUUGCGCAAUGGGGGAAACCCUGACGCAGCAACGCCGCGUGAAGGAAGAAGGUCUUCGGAUUGUAAACUUCUUUUGUCAGGGACGAAGAAAGUGACGGUACCUGACGAAUAAGCUCCGGCUAACUACGUGCCAGCAGCCGCGGUAAUACGUAGGGAGCGAGCGUUGUCCGGAUUUACUGGGUGUAAAGGGUGCGUAGGCGGCCGAGCAAGUCAGUUGUGAAAACUAUGGGCUUAACCCAUAACGUGCAAUUGAAACUGUCCGGCUUGAGUGAAGUAGAGGUAGGCGGAAUUCCCGGUGUAGCGGUGAAAUGCGUAGAGAUCGGGAGGAACACCAGUGGCGAAGGCGGCCUACUGGGCUUUAACUGACGCUGAGGCACGAAAGCAUGGGUAGCAAACAGGAUUAGAUACCCUGGUAGUCCAUGCCGUAAACGAUGAUUACUAGGUGUGGGGGGACUGACCCCUUCCGUGCCGCAGUUAACACAAUAAGUAAUCCACCUGGGGAGUACGGCCGCAAGGUUGAAACUCAAAGGAAUUGACGGGGGCCCGCACAAGCAGUGGAGUAUGUGGUUUAAUUCGACGCAACGCGAAGAACCUUACCAAGUCUUGACAUCCUGCGACGCACAUAGAAAUAUGUGUUUCCUUCGGGACGCAGAGACAGGUGGUGCAUGGUUGUCGUCAGCUCGUGUCGUGAGAUGUUGGGUUAAGUCCCGCAACGAGCGCAACCCUUGUGAUAUGUUACUAACAUUGAGUUGAGGACUCAUAUCAGACUGCCGGUGAUAAACCGGAGGAAGGUGGGGAUGACGUCAAAUCAUCAUGCCCCUUAUGGCCUGGGCUACACACGUACUACAAUGGCGUCUACAAAGAGCGGCAAGCCUGUGAAGGCAAGCGAAUCUCAUAAAGGACGUCUCAGUUCGGAUUGAAGUCUGCAACCCGACUUCAUGAAGCUGGAAUCGCUAGUAAUCGCGAAUCAGCAUGUCGCGGUGAAUACGUUCUCGGGCCUUGUACACACCGCCCGUCAAACCAUGGGAGUUGGUAAUGCCCGAAGCCGGUGGCAUAACCCUUCGGGGAGUGAGCCGUCGAAGGCAGGACCGAUGACUGGGGUUAAGUCGUAACAAGGUAUCCCUACGGGAACGUGGGGAUG